rnacentral:misc_RNA from 1 species
CCGAAUUCGCCCUCGCGGGCAGAGUUCCCACCCGUGCCUAAUUACCUUUGUUGCUUUGGCAGGCCGCCAGGCCUCCUGCCGCCGGCCCACGCUGGCGAGCGCCUGCCAGAGGACCCUAACCCUGAAUAUAAGUGUCGUCUGAGCAAAAUAUAAUAAAGUUA